rnacentral:rRNA from 1 species
AACGGGUGAGUAACACGUGGGUGAUCUGCCCUGCACUUUGGGAUAAGCCUGGGAAACUGGGUCUAAUACCGAAUAUACCUCGCUGGCCGCAUGGUCUGGUGGGGGAAAGCUUUUGCGGUGUGGGAUGGGCCCGCGGCCUAUCAGCUUGUUGGUGGGGUGAUGGCCUACCAAGGCGACGACGGGUAGCCGGCCUGAGAGGGUGACCGGCCACACUGGGACUGAGAUACGGCCCAGACUCCUACGGGAGGCAGCAGUGGGGAAUAUUGCACAAUGGGCGCAAGCCUGAUGCAGCGACGCCGCGUGGGGGAUGACGGCCUUCGGGUUGUAAACCCCUUUCAGCACAGACGAAGCGCGAGUGACGGUAUGUGCAGAAGAAGGACCGGCCAACUACGUGCCAGCAGCCGCGGUAAUACGUAGGGUCCGAGCGUUGUCCGGAAUUACUGGGCGUAAAGAGCUCGUAGGUGGUUUGUCGCGUUGUUCGUGAAAACUCACAGCUCAACUGUGGGCGUGCGGGCGAUACGGGCAGACUGGAGUACUGCAGGGGAGACUGGAAUUCCUGGUGUAGCGGUGGAAUGCGCAGAUAUCAGGAGGAACACCGGUGGCGAAGGCGGGUCUCUGGGCAGUAACUGACGCUGAGGAGC